AUGGUGCCAUGGCCACAUUGGACCACACCAUGCUGUGCUGGACCAAGCCAUGCCGUGCUGCUGUGGCCACACUGGACCACAUCAUGCCGUGCUGGGCCAAGCCAUGCUGUGCUGGACCAUGCCAUGCCGUGCUGCUGUGGCCACACUGGACCACAUCAUGCCGUGCUGGACCAUGCCACACCAUGGUGCCACGUCCACAUUGGACCACAGCAUGCUGUGUUGGACCAAGCUGCACCAUGGUGCCAUGGCCACUCUGGACCAAGCCAUGCCGUGCUGGACCAUGCCACACCAUGGUGCCGUGUCCAUACUGGACCAAGCCACGCCAUGCUGGACCAAGCCAUGCUGUGCUGGACCACGCCACACCACGGUGCCAUGUCCAUAUUGGACCACACCAUGCUGGGCUGGACCACACUAUGCCAUGCUGGACCACACCAUGCUGUGUUGGACCAAGCCAUGCCGUGCUGGACCAAGCGACACCAUACUGCUGUGGCCACGCUGGACCACACCAUGCCAUGUUGGACCAAGCCAUGCCAUGCUGGACCAAGCCAUGCCGUGCUGGACCAUGCCAUGCCAUGCUGCUGCAGCCAUGCUGGACCACACCAUGCCGUGGUGGACCAAGCCAUGCUGUGCUGGACCAUGACACACCAUGGUACCAUGUCCAUACUGGACCACAUCAUGCCGUGCUGGACCAUGACACACCAUGGUACCAUGUUCAUACUGGACCACAUCAUGCCGUGCUGGACCAUGCCACACCAUGUUGCCAUGGCCACGCUGGACCAUGCCAUGCCGCGCUGCUGUGGCCAUGCUGGACCACACCAUGCUGUGCUGGACCACACUAUGCCAUGCUGGACCACACCAUGCCAUGCUGGACCAAGCCACACCAUGUUGCCAUGGCCACACUGGACCAAGCCACGCCGUGCCGGACCACGCCACACCAUGGUGCCAUGUCCAUAUUGGACCACAUCAUGCCGUGCUGGACCAUGCCACACCAUGGUGCCAUGUUCAUACUGGACCACAUCAUGCCGUGCUGGACCAAACCACACCAUGUUGCCAUGGCCACGCUGGACCAAGCCACACCGUGCUGGACCAAGCCAUGCCAUGCUGGACCAAGCCAUGCCAUGCUGGACCACGCCAUGCUGUGCUGCUGUGGCCACGCUGGACCACACCAUGCCGUGCUGGACCAAGCCAUACCAUGCUGGACCACACCACACCACAGUGCCAUGUCCACACUGGACCACACCAUGCGGUGCUGGACCAAGCCACACCAUGUUGCCAUGUCCACACUGGACUAUCCCAUGCCAUGCUGGACCAGGCCAUGCCGUACUGGACCAAGCCAUGCCGUGCUGGACCACGCCACACCAUGGUGCCAUGUCCGUAUUGGACCACAUCAUGCCGUGCUGGACCAUGCCACACCAUGGUGCCAUGUUCAUACUGGACCACAUCAUGCCGUGCUGGACCAUGCCACACCAUGUUGCCAUGGCCACGCUGGACCAUGCCAUGCCGCGCUGCCAUGGCCAUGCUGGACCAAGCCAUGCUGUGCUGGACCACACUAUGCCAUGCUGGACCACACCAUGCCGUGCUGGACCAAGCCACACCAUGUUGCCAUGGCCACGCUGGACCACGCCACGCCGUGCCGGACCAAGCCAUGCCGUGCCGCUGUGGCCACGCUGGGCCACCCCCACCCCGUGCCGGGCUACCCGACAUCGCCUUGAGUUGCCCUCCCCGCCACCGUGGCGUGACCAAGUCGGGGCGGUGGGGGGGCUAAGAAGAAGCCNCCCCUUCCUCCUCCUUCUCACCUGA
rnacentral:lncRNA from 1 species